rnacentral:rRNA from 1 species
UACAGAGGUCUCAAGCGUUGUUCGGAAUCACUGGGCGUAAAGGGCGCGUAGGCGGCUUUGUCAGUCGGGGGUGAAAGCCUGUGGCUCAACCACAGAAUGGCCUUCGAUACUGCGAGGCUUGAGACCGGGAGAGGUGAGUGGAACUGCGAGUGGAGAGGUGAAAUUCGUAGAUAUUCGCAAGAACACCAGUGGCGAAGGCGGCUCACUGGACCGGAACUGACGCUGAGGCGCGAAAGCGUGGGGAGCAAACAGG